UACGUAGGGUGCGAGCGUUGUCCGGAAUUAUUGGGCGUAAAGAGCUCGUAGGCGGUCUGUCGCGUCGGUCGUGAAAACUCGAGGCUCAACCUCGAGCUUGCAGGCGAUACGGGCAGACUUGAGUACUGCAGGGGAGACUGGAAUUCCUGGUGUAGCGGUGGAAUGCGCAGAUAUCAGGAGGAACACCGGUGGCGAAGGCGGUUCUCUGGGCAUUACCUGACGCUGAGGAGCGAAAGCAUGGGGAGCGAACAGG
rnacentral:rRNA from 1 species